UUGUAGCUCAACAAGGAUAUUGCAAAGGUGAAAGAUGAUCAGGAAUGGGAUAUUAUUGAGACUAGAAAAGCACUGUCCAGAACAGGACCUGCAUAUAAGCCAAAACAGAUUUCUUUGGAAGAGGAGCUUAAGGUUGACAUAAACAACUACGAGUACAAGAAAAUUCCUCGGCCAAAUGAAGGCAAGUCGCACUAGUUUGUACUUUUAUCAAUUUAUCAAUCAAUGGAAAACUUUUAGGAUUUGUCCUUCAUCUUGAAGUCAUGUAGCGACUCCCCAACCAUGGUCUCUUUUUGCAGCAAAAGUUAUACAAACAUUUAUGCUCUGACUUAGCUGAUUAUUGUAGCUACUGACCCUCACUUGCGCAAUAGUAGUUUUUCCCACAGCAAAGCAUAGAUCCUCCAAAUAGAAUUCUCAAUUUUCUUGGAGAAUAUCUUUGUACUUUGCUGAAAUUAAAUUCCUUGUACGCUGCCUCAAAUAAUUAAGCAGGAUUUUAAUAUAAUGCAUUGAGAAGGUUGAAACUUUUCUUUUCUGGGAAGAAAGGGGUUGGCACUUUUGACAUGUUCAAGUUCUCUCCUUAAAACUUAAUUUUUUUAGUGCCCACAUCUUAGAUAUAUUCACUGCCAUGUUCCAAUUUGUUUUGACUUUCACCUUGAUCUCCGUCAAGUAGAAUUCCUCCUUUGUUGCUCAAAGUUUAUUUUGCAUUAAGGAAAUAAGUACCUGUACCUUAUU